rnacentral:lncRNA from 1 species
UGGGGUGAGCUAUACAAUGGGUUGAUCUGUAGAAUGGAGUGAGCUGGACAAUGGGGCUACUCACCCCACCCACCUUGCAAAGUGAUGCAGGACAGGAAAUGGGUUAAUAGAAGCUCGGAUUUAGAAGAGUGCCUGGCACGCCUAAGGGCUCAAGCCGUCUGUGUAAUUAUCUUAAACUUUUUCAUUUCGGAAAUGAAACAGCUCCUCCCUUCACCGCCACCUUGGCUAUUUCUGGGACCAAAGGAAUCCUUGAAGCUGACCGGGCAGGAGAGUCCACGCUGGGAGUAAAAUCACUACAAACUGUCCAUCAGAAGGCCCCUGCUGAGUAGUUGGCAGGGUGGCUGCACAUAAUGGAAAGCACAUAAGCUUGAAGCCAGACAGAUGGGAGUUCUAACCCCAGCCCUGCCACUUAUUCCCAGGUGACACUGAUGAUGUCCAAAGAGAAGGGAGGAGGAAGGAUGAAAGGAAAGACAGAGGAGGAAGGAAGAGAAGAAAGAAGAGUGGCCGGCACAAGGGCUUGGAGAUCCCUGAAGCUGUUUUCCUUUCUCCUCACCCCCACAGGGAGGGAUCCACAUCGUUGUGGGGUUUUUGUUGUUGUUGUUUUUGUUUUUGUUUUUUUGCCUCCCUUCAUCAAAGCAUUCAUUGUAGUGUAUGGUAAUUGUCUCUGAAUGUAACAGCCUCUCUUCCCUGAGGCCUGGGUCUGCUUGUUUCAUACCAUCUUCUCCUUAACACACAGUGCUUGGUAAACAAUACCUAUUAAUAAACAUUUGUUGAAUGAAUGAAUGAGUGAAUGAACGAAUACUGCACUCUUUCGACUUGGUUAGAGACAUGUCUUGUAGGCUGGCAUGUACUUCACACAGCACUCUUAGGUAGAGUUUGUAUAUGUUAUUCCAUUGAAGGGAAAAGGAAGCCAGACUGUGGGGAGAAAAAAAAAAAAAAAA